CCUACGGGUGGCAGCAGUGGGGAAUCUUGGACAAUGGGCGAAAGCCCAAUCCAGCAAUAUCGCGUGAGUAAAGAAGGGCAAUGCCGCUUGUAAAGCUCUUUCAUCGAGUGCGUGAUCAUGACAGGACUCGAGGAAGAAGCCCCGGCUAACUCCGUGCCAGCAGCCGCAGUAAGACGGGGGGGGCAAGUGUUCUUCGGAAUGACUGGGCGUAAAGGGAACGUAGGCGGUGAAUUGGGUUGAGAGUGAAAGUUGCCAAAAAGUGGCGGAAUGCUCUCGAAACCAAUUCACUCGAGUGAGAUAGAGGAGAGUGGAAUUGUAUGUGUAGGGGUGAAAUCCAUAGAUCUACGAAGGAACGCCAAAAGCAAAGGCAGCUCUCUGGGUCCCUACCGAUGCUGGGGUGCGAAAGCAUGGGGAGCAAACAGGAUUAGAUACCCCUGUAGUC
rnacentral:rRNA from 1 species